GUGGGGAAUAUUGGACAAUGGGGGGAACCCUGAUCCAGCCAUCCCGCGUGUGUGAAGAAGGCCUUUUGGUUGUAAAGCACUUUAAGCGAGGAGGAGGCUACCGAGAUUAAUACUCUUGGAUAGUGGACGUUACUCGCAGAAUAAGCACCGGCUAACUCUGUGCCAGCAGCCGCGGUAAUACAGAGGGUGCAAGCGUUAUUCGGAUUUACUGGGCGUAAAGCGCGCGUAGGUGGCAAAUUAAGUCAAAUGUGAAAUCCCCGAGCUUAACUUGGAAAUUGCAUUCGAUACUGGUUGGCUAGAGUAUGGGAGAGGAUGGUAGAAUUCCAGGUGUAGCGGUGAAAUGCGUAGAGAUCUGGAGGAAUACCGAUGGCGAAGGCAGCCAUCUGGCCUAAUACUGACACUGAGGUGCGAAAGCAUGGGGAGCAAACAGGAUUAGAUACCCGGGUAGUCC
rnacentral:rRNA from 1 species